UUGACAAUCAAUGUCAUUCUUUUUGGGAAAUGAUGAUAACAAUUUUUGACUUAAUUAUUAAUGAUAUGGGUAAUUUUGACCAGUAUUGUAAUUCCUUUUGAAAAACGUUACGAAAAAUUGAAAACUAAUUCUUGACCAUUUUCUUCUAGUGCUCAUUCGUUCCUAUAAAGUCCACAACACCUUAAUCAAUUUUUGUGAUCAUUUUGAUACAAUUUGAUAAGUAAACUUCUUGAGAUACUGAUUAGGAAUCAUGAAGAACUUCUCCAAUGUAGUUGUCAUUGCUUUUUUCCUCUUCAUUAUUCUUGUUACUACAACAAAAGGAGCUAAAGUAUGUCUAUUUCCCUUUGAAGUCCCCCAACCUUGUGACUCAAAUAAGUGCGAUACCCAAUGCAAGCAACAAUUUGGACAAAAGCCCCCAGGUGCUAUCAAAGGGCCACUUCUUGGAGGAAGUUGCAUUGGUGAAAAUUGUUUUUGCUCUUUUUGUUGCAAAGAGAAAUGUGUUGAUUUACAUCGAUGAAUUCUCUUACUUGCUAUUACUUUAAACGUUCAUAUGGACAUUUGAAUGAAAUAUAUAAAAAUUUAAAUCAAAAGUUUAGUUGAA